UUGAUCAUGUUCAUGUAUGAUAUAAGGCUAUACAAAUAGUAUGUUCAAAAUCUUUGUUUUAGAGUUUGUUUUUACUUGUCUGUCACGGCUUAGAGUUGUUCUUGAUGUUCUCACUUGUAAACAUUCUUUUGUAGUUUUCUUGAUAUCCUUGAUCAUAUAUACAAGUUUGCUUUACGACUUUUAUUUUUAACUAGAUCCUUUCUCCGCGCUACGCGCGGAUAAUAUAUUUAAAUUUGCUACAUUUAUCAUUUUUAUUUAUAUGUGAAUUUUUGUAUAAUUAUUUCUAUUAUAUGUAACACAAUUAACUAACAAAAUAUUAAAAAUCAAGCCCGAGAUUUUAGAGUUAUGUAAAAAAAUAUAAUUAUUUGAAAAAUAAUGAACUAUUAAACAAAAUAAUUCAAAUUUUUAACAUUUGAAAGAUUAUGAAAUAUAUGAAUUCAUAACUCAACUAUUUUAAUAGUAAAAUUAGGGCUACACAAAAUAUCCAGACCCGAAGAUCCGACCUAAAU
rnacentral:lncRNA from 1 species